CCCUUAGAUGUUCUGGGCCGCACGCGUGCUACACUGAGUGGAUCAGCGGGUCAGGUUGCGCGAAAGUGUUUCCUAAUCUUUAAAUCCGCUCGUGAUGGGGAUUGACGGUUGCAAUUUUCCGUCAUGAACGAGGAAUACCUUGUAAGCGCGGGUCAUCAUCCCGCGCUGAAUACGUCCCUGCCCUUUGUACACACCGCCCGUCGCUCCUACCGAUUGCGUGGUCCGGUGAGGCUUUGGGAUCUGAGCGGAAAGAGCGUUUCGCUGUUUCUGCCCGGAAAACUCAGUCGAACCUUAUCAUUUAGAGGAAGGAGAAGUCGUAACA
rnacentral:rRNA from 1 species